GUGUUCACUAAAAACAUAUAUAUGCUGGCAAACCUAGAUACACACAUCUAUACAUGCAUACGAACAUCCGGAAGGACAUUCAGAGGAGCUGACUAAAAGAAUGUGUCUGAGACACUCACAAAGACACAAGGCCUGAAUUUCGGGAGGAGUGGCUGCGUUCAUUACAUCGCCUCCUGUGCUCAACUGGUACUUAUUCUAUCGACCCCAGAAGAAGGAAAAGUAAAGUCGACCUCGGCGGAAUUUGAUCUCAGAACGGGAAGCCGGACGAAAUGCCGCUAAGUAUUUUCCGAAAUGAGUAAGAAAAGAUUCUAACCUUUGAAAAUCGAAAUAUUUGUUAAUGUUAGCCAAUCACAAGACUCUUUUAUUGGCAUAUCGAAAGAUGCAAUUUCAUCUAUUGGAUAAGAACAGGAAAAUAUUACGAAACUUAACCUUGACGAAAGAAAAAUAUUACGAAACUUAACCUUGACGAAAGAAAAAUAUUACAACUUGAUAUAUAGAUAUAAAUAUAUAUAAUUUAACGUAUGAAAAUUGCUAACUAAAGCUUUUAAAUAGAAAUAUAUAUUCAUACACUUCAAAUGCAAGCGAUGUCUAUUUAUAUAGUUACAGUGACACCAUUUUCACUGCCGACAUUCCCUGUAGCGCUACAGUUCGAAUGAGAAUUGAACUUGUGCCAAAUUAAGUGAAAGUACCGACUGUUUGGUGUCUUAACUAUUCAAAUAACCCAGCUUGACAAAUCUUAUUCUUGGGCAAUUUACCUGCUAGCGAAUUUGGCAGACACGCCUCGGUAUGAUAUCACAUGACAUAUAUUUGAGGUAACAAGGUAAACGAAGUUAAUAGAGUUCUUAAUGCCUAAGAUUUCAAUUAAAGAAAAAGGAAAAAUACUUUGCUAUUCAUUCGCGUCUGACAUAAGGGAAGAACGACGUUGUAGAAAAUUUCAAGAAAUUUAGAUUUGCUUGAUUCCUUAUCAGUCAACUUCACUAUUUUAAUCUCUCGCAACUCAUUCUUUACAUUUUAAGAUGAACAAUAUGAGAAUAUUACUCAUCAUAAAAAUACACACUGCUAUGUCUUCUUUAUUAGGAUAAGAAUCACUAUAGCAGCGCUACCACAUACGCCUCUACAUCUUAAAUGUGAAGCGAGUCUAACAGUGAAUACGAGGAGGUGCUGAAAAGUUCCUGGCUUUAAGGGUCUCACGAAAGGCCUCGUAUGAGACCCAAACGUUCGAGUUCUUUACAGGACUUAGAAAAACUGGAGGACUCUUGUGAUAAAUGUGUGAAUCUGAGAAGGGAAUAUGUCAAAUAAAAUAAUAAUUAACUCAUCUUCCUGUAUUUUCUUUUACCCAGAGUCAGGAACUUUUCGGUACCCCUUCGUAUAUGCCGUAUAGUAUUGUGCUAUGGAUUGAGACCAUCAGCCUUCAUCUCAUGAAUCGAAUUUCUAUUCUUCGAUAUUCUGACUGAAGUAUUUGCAUAUUUCUAUACAGAAAAUUGUGAUUCUACCCAGGACUUGAUUUUAAAUAUGGGGGGCCACGGGCACUUACAAUUCGAUGUGAACUAUCAUAUACAAGGAUUACAAUCUUGGAAAAUUAGCAAAUUUAAAUCUCAAAACUCAUCUAUCGCAUGUAAUAGUAUUUGGUGAGUUAGCAGAGAAGGUUUAAAUACCCAACUGAAAAUGUCGCUUUAUAGAUACACUUUUCAAAAUUCAAAUUUUUUUA